rnacentral:rRNA from 1 species
CCCUUAGAUGUUCUGGGCCGCACACGCGCUACACUGAAGGAGGCAGCGUGUACUCCUGGAUCGAAAGAUUUGGGUAACCCGCGAAUCUCCUUCGUGCUAGGGAUUGAGGUUUGCAAUUAUCCUUCAUGAACGAGGAAUUCCCAGUAAGUGCAAGUCAUAAGCUUGCGCUGACUACGUCCCUGCCCUUUGUACACACCGCCCAUCGCUACUACCGAUUGAAUGAUUUAGUGAGGACUUCGGACUGGGACCGAUGCGGCUUUCGGGCUGCGUCGGUAUUCUGGAAAGAUGUCCAAACUGUAUCAUUUAGAGGAAGUAAAAGUCGUAACA